rnacentral:tRNA from 1 species
GCCUCCCUAGUCCAACGGUUAGGAUAAUUGCCUUCCAAGCAAUAGACCCGGGUUUGACUCCCGGUCAGACGCA